UACGGGGGGGGGCAAGCGUUGUUCGGAAUUACUGGGCGUAAAGGGCGCGUAGGCGGUCAAUCCAGUCGGGGGUGAAAUCUUGCAGCUUAACUGUAAAAGUGCCUUCGAUACUGAUUGACUCGAGGGAGGUAGGGGCAGGUGGAACUUCCAGUGGAGCGGUGAAAUGUGUUGAUAUUGGAAGGAACGCCGGUGGCGAAAGCGACCUGCUGGAUCUCUUCUGACGCUGAGGCGCGAAAGCUAGGGGAGCAAACGGG
rnacentral:rRNA from 1 species